GAAUCGUAGCUCAGUUUGGUAGAGCGCGAAUGUUUCAUCAACAACUUGUCGCCGUUAUUUUUCACAAUUAUUGUCGGGUGAAAGUUCAAAUCUUUCCGCUUCCG
rnacentral:tRNA from 1 species